rnacentral:lncRNA from 1 species
CUAGAUUUUAUCAAGAUUUGAGUGCUUUGCUUUUGGAACUAGAAAUUCUUGAAGUUCACUUGUUAAUUAUUCACUAAAUCACACUUGAGUACCUAAGGGCUGUCUCCCUCAAUUAGGAUUCUUGAAUUGCUGUAUUUUUAGUGUGUUUUUGAGGCAGUCUGCAUUCAUGUUUUUUGAUAGAAUCAAUGGCUUUCUAUGAGAUCGAGCAUGGAAUUAUGAUUACUUGCAUCAUGAGAGAUAGAGCAUUUUAAUGUAGAAAUUUACGUUACACGACCUCAUUGAGCUUACCCGUUGCUUUGUUAAAAUUGCAGAGUAUCCUAGCCAUCAUCAAGUUCAGAUGGAACACAAUCAAUCAUCGGUUGGUUUCAAGUCUUUUUCUUGCAGUUCAUGUUCGUAUCACGUCCCUCCCAAAUCCACCAAUACAAAAAACGUUAUAUGGUCGCCUUGAAGCAUCAUAACU